AUUGAACGCUGGCGGAAUGCUUUACACAUGCAAGUCGGGCGGCAGCGGCGGGGGCGAACCCUGGCGGCGAGCGGCGAACGGGUGAGUAAUACAUCGGAACGUGUCCUUAAGUGGGGAUAGCUACGGCGAAAGCCGGAUUAAUACCGCAUAAGCUCUGAGGAGGAAAGCGGGGGAUCGUCUAGAAACUGGAGACUAGAAACUAGAGACUAGAUUGAUAAGGUGCGGCGAAGCCGCGCUUCGUUAGUCUAGUUUCCAGUCUCUAGUGUCUAGUUUCUAGACGACCUCGCGCUGUUGGAGCGGCCGAUGUCGGAUUAGCUAGUUGGUGGGGU
rnacentral:rRNA from 1 species